AAUCGAUUGACAAUCCUACUUCAGUGUUGUGUAGAUAUAAAGAUGUCCGUGGGUCUGACAAACAGAUGGAGGAGGCUCGUCAUCUGCUGCAGGAGCUGAGAGACAACAAACUACCCAUGUGUAUACCAGACAAGUGUCACAUGACCUACUCAAUACAAUGGUCGGAUAAAGGUGUGGAUCCCGCCACGGUAAAGGAACACAAGAACUACAUCGACCAGUUGUGUGAAGACUUCGAGAAGACGAUGUCG